UGGAUAGUGGAAACCAGAAUUUAGAAUUUUAAAGUAGGCACAACUCCAGGUGUCACCAAAGUCCACAGAGUAGUCAUGGGAGUGGACCAACAGUCACUGGAACAAGAAGUCAGAAGUGGAUUGGACCUGAAAGGCAAGAGAGUAGGAGCCAGCGUCUGUCAUUAGGAUCCUGACCAUCCCAGUUGCCGGUCACGCUCACCCGUCUCCUUCCACCAGGGGGCAGGGCUCGUUUACAUAUGGAUUUCGCCGCGCAGAUGCCAGGGGCGGAACCUCCUCUCCAGCCUGGGUCCCUGCUGUCCUCAGGAUUGUAUUUGCUGCUUUUAAUGGAGCGAAUCCCCCCUCCC
rnacentral:lncRNA from 1 species